rnacentral:rRNA from 1 species
UACGUAGGGUGCGAGCGUUAAUCGGAAUUACUGGGCGUAAAGCGUGCGUAGGCGGUUCGUUAAGUUCGUUGUGAAAGCCCCGGGCUCAACCUGGGAAUGGCAAUGGAAACUGGCGGGCUGGAGUAUGGCAGAGGGGGGUGGAAUUCCGCGUGUAGCAGUGAAAUGCGUAGAGAUGCGGAGGAACACCGAUGGCGAAGGCAGCCCCCUGGGCCAAUACUGACGCUGAGGUGCGAAAGCGUGGGGAUCAAACAGG